rnacentral:rRNA from 1 species
AUGCUCCUGCCAAACUGCCUGUUCCGCGUCGGCGGGGUGGCGGCGCUGCUGUCGACGUCCCCCGUGAACGCCCGGUUCCGCCUGAAGCACGUCGUGCGCACCUUCACCGGCGCAAACGACGACAACGCUUACCGGUGCGUGUUUCAGGAGGAGGACGACCAGGGGAACGUCGGGAUCAACCUCAGCAAGAACCUGAUGGCCAUCGCCGGGAAUUCACUCCAGGUUAACAUCACCGAGAUCGCGCCGCUGGUCCUGCCUUUCUCCGAGCAGCUCCUCUUCGCCCUCUCCUUUGUUGCACGUAAGGUGCUUCACGCACAUGUCAAGCCCUACAUCCCUAACUUCUCCAUGGCGUUCAAGCACAUGUGCAUUCACGCGGGCGGCCGCGCGGUCAUCGACGAGCUGCAGACAAAACUCCGUCUCUCGGACGAGCAGGUGGAGGCGUCGCGGAUGACACUGCACCGGUUCGGAAACACGUCUAGUAGCUCGCUGUGGUACGAGCUGGCCUACGUGGAGGCCAAAGGACGGAUGCGCAAGGGCCAUCGUGUUUGGAUGGUCGGCUUCGGCUCAGGGUUCAAGUGCAACAGCGUGGUGUGGGAGUGCAUCCAGCCUGCUGCCCGCAACACCCAUGGGCCGUGGAGCACGUCCAUCCAUAGGUAUCCAGUGGACAUUCCCGAAGUUCUAAGCCAUUAG